CACGUAGGGGGCAAGCGUUGUCCGGAUUUAUUGGGCGUAAAGAGCUCGUAGGCGGCUCAGUAAGUCAGGUGUGAAACCUCCAGGCUCAACCUGGAGACGCCACCUGAUACUGCUGUGGCUAGAGUCCGGUAGGGGAGCGUGGAAUUCCUGGUGUAGCGGUGAAAUGCGCAGAUAUCAGGGAGGAACACCAGUGGGCCGAAGGCGGCUCACUGGCCCGGUACUGACGCUGGAGGCACGAAAGCGUGGGGAGCAAACAGG
rnacentral:rRNA from 1 species